rnacentral:rRNA from 1 species
GGUAAAAGAUUAAUCGCCUAGAGAGGGGCUUGCGUCUGAUUAGCUAGUUGGUGAGGUAAGAGCUUACCAAGGCGACGAUCAGUAGCUGGUCUGAGAGGAUGAUCAGCCACACUGGGACUGAGACACGGCCCAGACUCCUACGGGAGGCAGCAGUGGGGAAUUUUCCGCAAUGGGCGAAAGCCUGACGGAGCAAGACCGCGUGGGGGAGGAAGGUUCUUGGAUUGUCAACCCCUUUUCUCAGGGAAGAACRCAAUGACGGUACCUGAGGAAAAAGCAUCGGCUAACUCCGUGCCAGCAGCCGCGGUAAUACGGGGGAUGCAAGCGUUAUCCGGAAUGAUUGGGCGUAAAGAGUCCGUAGGUAGUCAUCCAAGUCUGCUGUUAAAGAGCGAGGCUUAACCUCGUAAAGGCAGUGGAAACUGGAAGACUAGAGUGUAGUAGGGGCAGAGGGAAUUCCUGGUGUAGCGGUGAAAUGCGUAGAGAUCAGGAAGAACACCGGUGG